AUACGUAGGGAGCGAGCGUUACCCGGAAUUACUGGGCGUAAAGUGCGCGUAGGCGGCUUGGUAAGUCCCUUUAGAAAGCUCCCGGCUUAACUGGGAGAGGUGAGGGGAAACUACCUGGCUUGAGGGCAGUAGAGGAAAGCGGAAUUCCCGGUGUAGCGGUGAAAUGCGUAGAUAUCGAGAGGAACACCAGUGGCGAAGGCGGCUUUCUGGGCUGCACCUGACGCUGAGGCGCGAGAGCGUGGGGAGCAAACAGGAUUAGAAACCCGGGUAGUCC
rnacentral:rRNA from 1 species